rnacentral:rRNA from 1 species
CGCCGUUCUUAUUUUGUUGGUUUCUAAGACCGCCGUAAUGAUUAAUAGGGAUAGUUGGGGGCAUUAGUAUUCAAUUGUCAGAGGUGAAAUUCUUGGAUUUAUUGAAGACUAACUACUGCGAAAGCAUUUGCCAAGGAUGUUUUCAUUAAUCAAGAACGAAAGUUAGGGGAUCGAAGACGAUUAGAUACCGUCGUAGUCUUAACCAUAAACUAUGCCGACUAGGGAUCGGGCGUGGUUUCAAACGACCCGCUCGGCACCUUAAGAGAAAUCAAAGUUUUUGGGUUCUGGGGGGAGUAUGGUCGCAAGGCUGAAACUUAAAGGAAUUGACGGAAGGGCACCACCAGGAGUGGAGCCUGCGGCUUAAUUUGACUCAACACGGGGAAACUCACCAGGUCCAGA